AGAGUUUGAUCAUGGCUCAGGAUUAACGCUAGCGGCAGGCCUAAUACAUGCAAGUUGUACGGGAUUAUUGGUAGCAAUACUGAUAUGAGAGUAGCGCACGGGUGCGUAACACGUAUGCAACCUACCUUUAACUGGGGAAUAGCUCACCGAAAGGUGAAUUAACACCGCAUAAAAUCACAGAAGGACAUCCUUUAAUGAUUAAAUCUCCGGAGGUUAAAGAUGGGCAUGCGUCCGAUUAGCUAGUUGGCGGGGUAAUAGCCCACCAAGGCAACGAUCGGUAGGGGGUCUGAGAGGAUGAUCCCCCACACUGGUACUGAGACACGGACCAGACUCCUACGGGAGGCAGCAGUAAGGAAUAUUGGACAAUGGGGGCAACCCUGAUCCAGCCAUGCCGCGUGAAGGAUGAAGGCCCUAUGGGUCGUAAACUUCUUUUACAGGGGACAAAUAUCCGCUUCGUGAAGCGGAUUGAUGGUACUCUGAGAAUAAGGGUCGGCUAACUUCGUGCCAGCAGCCGCGGUAAUACGAAGGACCCGAGCGUUAUCCGGAUUUAUUGGGUUUAAAGGGUGCGUAGGCGGAUUUACAAGUCAGUGGUGAAAUCUCCCAGCUUAACUGGGAAACUGCCAUUGAAACUGUUUAUCUUGAGUACAUUUGAGGCGGGCGGAAUGUGUCAUGUAGAGGUGAAAUUCUUAGAUAUGACACAGAACACCAAUUGCGAAGGCAGCUCGCUAAACUGUAACUGACGCUGAGGCACGAAAGCGUGGGGAUCAAACAGGAUUAGAUACCCUAGUAGUCC
rnacentral:rRNA from 1 species